UAAUCAUCUGCAUAUCCAAACAUUCUGUAAUUUUAUUUGAUCAAAUUAAAUACUUCCCAAACUUAAUCAGGUACUCCUUCCUACAGAGAAAUAGUUCUGUUUUUAACUUUCAGAUCUCAGUUCUGGCCAGAGAAUACCAAACAAAAUAAGCUUCAUAUUUUCCACAUUUGUAACAUGCUUUGAAAUAGUCAAAAAAGAUAGUGAUAAAAUGUCAGAAUAAAAAUUCACCUUUUGCACUUUGCAAUCAUGGCAAAUCUUAGUGCCAGAAGUGAGAAUUUCUGACAGAUCUGGGUAGUUGGAAACAGAAGAUUAGAAGGAAAACUGUUAUACAGUCUGAACCAAACUGGGGAUUGCAGAAAUAAAUGAAUAUAAAACUGUCUGACUUGAAGGAUCAUUGGGCUCCACGGAUGUUGAGUUUUGUGUAUUCUGAAGAACACCGCAAUCUAUUAAGAUACUGUAGAUAAUGCCAGCCGCUCCUUUUUAUUGGCUGCCUGCAAUACAUGAUUUGAAUUCUAAUCUCUCAUUUAUAUAUUACAUGAGAUCACUUUAAAAUUUGGGAAAAAACAUUAGCUCAAUACUAAAGAUAUUUGAAAACACCAUCCUUGACCCAAUUUUUAAGCAUUCUUGAGUAUGCAACCGUAUUUGUCCAUAUGCAACAUAGCGGUCAAGCUUUUUAUUUAUUUAUGUAUUUGUUUUAAGUAACACUUGGUUGCAGUCUUACCUUGAGGAAGUGUCUGCUUUAUGGCUGGAUCGCUGCUGUUGUUUUUACUGAUGACAUUAAAGUUAAUGCAUUACUGGGAUGGUAUAUUAGCAUAUUGUCUUUCAAGUACAAAAAAAUCCUAAAUGAGCGAUGAUGCCAAAGUCAGCAGCUUAAUCUGUUUUUCUUGUGGUAGGCUUCUGUCAAAACAAGUGCAUUGUUGUGAAUAAAUAACUCAAAUAGGAAAUUAGUCACAAUUCAAACAUGUAAUUAUAUUUUAACAAGGCAAAAUUCCAACCAAAGCUGCCAGAAAACACUCAGUUAAAGCCAGCGCGAGUUGGAAUACUUUGUGUGUUCAUUGUAAUUAUAACUGUGGCUACUUCAGUCUUGCUGCCACUUCAGACUUAAAAGAAUUAAAACAAAUGCUGUCCAAAUGCCAACUGAAGGUCCUAAUAAUUAGGCGUCAUUAGGGGCUGUUAGUUGGCUUUAUUUUCUACUCAGUACUCUUGCAUUUAGGGAUUCUGUUUAGAUGCAGAAUUAACGACUCUGAACAGGUAAUCCAAUGUUCUCUGGGUAAUUUAGCCAAUGAGUUUUUUUCUGCCCCUUAGUUUUGGCUGUGUUUCAAGAUGUAUGGUGAAACUGCAAUGCUAAAAAUAAUCUCAUUCAAUAUAUUUUAUCUGAAAGGAUAAACCAGGCCAGCUGACAAAUGCUGGCUAAAAUUCUGAGGUUCUUUUACUUACUGGGGAAGGCCAUCUCCUUCUUCCACCAAAGGCACUGAGUGGGACUUCUCUGUGUGCAUCCUCCCCUCUAGUGGCUGCUCUUCUCAAAAAAAAAAAAAAAAAGAAAUGAAAAGAAAAAAAGUGGCAAUGCUUCAGCACUUCAUCUGUAUUAGGUGCAAAGUGAUGGGUACAGGAUUGAGGGAAUCUAGGUAGGAAGGAGAAAAGUAGGCACAAUCUUUUAUGUACCAAGAAAUUCAAAUGCAACUGUGAUAUGAGCCAUACUAAGACAGAGAUGCACAACAAGAAUAGUAGAUUUGACAAUUUUUUGUGAAAAAUGCAAUGUAUUACUUGAAAGAUGAUCGUAAUUGUGAUCAUUCACAUGCAAGGCUGGCUUCUCAGCCGUUUCUCAGUGUCUCAGACCAAUCCUUUCUGUUGGUCUGUCUUGUUUUGCUGUAUAGCCAGUACCAUGCAGGACUCAAGGAUUUGGAAAAUACAACUUCAGUAAUGGGCCUAUAAACCAGGUGUCCCUCUUGUAUCUCUUCCAUACAUUUUUAUCCUACCCACUACUUAACUUUCUCCCAGCAGUCUGUCCUUUUCUCCUCAGCAAUAGUAAACUCACAGCCAAGUCUCCAUGUUCACUGCUUACCGUUCUGCUAUUCCUCCUACGGGAUCAUUGCCUAUCACAUAGUCCAACACCCCUUCCCAAAUUGCUAUCGAAACAACAAGUCAAAACCACUGCCAUUAGUGGCGGCACAGCCAGCACUACAGAAACACAGCUAGCCAUAGCUAGAAAACAAGGUGGGAGAAGUACAGCCAGCGUAUGGAAUAUUUCACCAGUGAAGAAGAAAACCAUUUGUUAAGGACUUACUUCUCUUCUGCAUGCAGCGGUGAGUGGCCACACAGAAUGCAUCCCAGACAACAUAUUGCGUCUCUGGCCAGCUUUUUCCAGGACCUGAACCGGUGACCCUGAGGAGUCUAAGCACUACAGAUGCAGUAGGCAGAUCACCCACAGUGGUGGGUACCCCAGCGGAGUAGUCUGGGCGUUCUGAUUCCUUGUAGACUUUGAUCCAAACCCUGUCAAGCUCCAAGUGCAUAUUUUCUUUCACCUUUUCUCAACUUCCAAUUUACCUCACAAUCUGUGGAUUUGGAUGUUUUGUGUCAUUUCUGGAACUGCUACAGCUACAAGAUAAAGGGAGAAAAAAGAAUAAAACCCAGAAGAACUGCUUCACGCGAAGAGUCAACUUUCAGAUUCCGCUUUUUUCAGGUGCACAGAGCACAGGGAAGUGCCUAUACGGAGCAGUACUCCGGGUCUGCUACCCUUCUUGGGGGUGUGGAGAAGGGGAUUCUGUACACUCGGCAUCCCGAGGAACUCCCCAGUGCCACCGGUGUGCGGGGUGGCUGGGACAUGCAGGCAGUCCUGCUCUUUCCCAAGGGCCAAGCUGACUUGUUUUCAAAACCACUGAGGUGUACAUGAACUGCAGAGGUGACACAAAUUGCACUUACUAUAGUUCUGGCAACUACCCCUGGGCCAGAUUCUCACUGGAGUCACUUUUGCAGGACAGGACAUAUGCAAAAUCAUUUUACUGUAGCAAAAACAUGGGAAAGAUGACUUGGAAGAAAGGACACCAGCCAGAGGUUCUGUUUCUUCCACUCACCUGCUGCAAACUGUGGCCACCAUGAAUUCCAGGCAAUUAAAAAGGACAUGAGUUCUGAAGCUUUUUAAAAGGGGCUUUGCUUUCCAAAUGGUCAAACUGUCCCUACCCACAAGACUUCACAGAUGAGAAAAAGCAAAUCCAGGGAAAAGAGAGAGAAUGAUAAAGCUCAAUACCUGCUUUCUCCAGUGAUUUUUAGAGGAGGACGUUACGAUUCCUUGAUUAUAGCAAUCCAUACUCUGCUCCACAAAUCCUCCCACAGCAGUCAGUGGAACAACUCAUGAACUUAGGCAUUUACAGCAUAAAAUUUCAAAAUUCAUCCAGAAUCCUGAAAGAAGAAUUUACAUUAAAGAGUAGAGCUACAGCAGUCAAAGAACCGCUCACAAUGCACCUAGACCAAGCACCUGAAAUCUCUGCGAGGUCUGGGACACAGCAUGGUAGUCUGAGCUUUUGCUCCAUUUGUUCCGUCAAGUAAAUAGCACGUGCUUUAUACAGAGAUCAGCUUUGCUAUGGCUGCAUAAUUGGAAUAGCUUCGAAAAGCUUCCCAAGGCUCAAAGACUAAAUGCCUAAGUGAGUACAAGUUGUGGAAUGGCUCCUGCCAUUCACGUCCGACCAAACUGCUGUCUGUACACUGCUGCGGGGCUCAGCUACAACUAGACUCUCUCUUGCUGUGGGAAUGCCCAGCAAUGCUACUCCUCCGGCGCGUUCAGGGUAUGCUACAGGCAGCAAGCAUCCUCCCAGCACCUCUGUGACCUGUGGUCUGCCUUUCUUGUCUCACGUGGGAUUAGGCUGAUGGACUGCCCCCAGAAGCUAUUUUAAGGACGUUGAGAAGAGACGCAAGAGGGCAGGAUCUAACCAGAAGUCUGGGUGGGCCGGGCAGGCCUCCCAGCAGUGCCCGAACACCACGGAGGAGAGGAUCGCGCUGCCCAGUCUUCCUCUGGUCACCGUCCCCAGCAGCCUCUAGUACCAGACCUCCGGGCUACGCCUGGGAGAGAGCCCUGCCUCCGCCGGAGCGGCGUUCCCCUUGCAGCCCUGCGGAAAGGCUCUUGCUCGUCUGUUACGACAGGAAACGUUUUGAAAUGUGACCAGUGAAGGAGAGCUGAGAGCAGACAGCACAGAACUUUGAAGAACUUCGAUGUCCACUGCCAAAACAGCAGUCCGGAGAGUCCUGAGUCCUUUUGUUGCUGCUUCCCCUGUGCCCCAGAGAGCACACCUCGCACCAUGGGCUGCAUGCUGGAUAGAACACGUUCUUUCCUAGAGUAACUCUGAAUGUAAUAUUGAAAUCUGCUGUCAUUCAUAACUGUGAAAAGCACAGAGAUAACAGUGUACAUUCACUUCUCUCUUGAAUUAGCACCAACACGCUGUCUCUCACAUUAAAUAUUGAUCAAAUUUCUGAGUCAACAAAUUUCAUUAUUGAUCUAAACAGAAGGCAGUAUUGGGAUGCCUACUGUCAGUGCCAGCCCUGAUCCUUACUACCACCUUUACCCUUCUAUUCAAAUAUUUUUUCUUCUUCUUUGCCCAGAUUAGCAACGUAUUUCUACGCCAUACAAGGGACUCUGUCCAUUUACCCAGACUAGCCACAAUAGCUUCUAUGCUUUAUUCUGUCUAUAGAUGAGCCUCCACUCAUUUCCCUCCGCUCCCUGGCCGGUCUGUACCACAGCACUUUUUUUAUAGCCACCGAUGGUUGAGCAAGUGCAUUGGACACUUCCAAAGUGCUCCAACUGCCAUUUCGCUCCCCGAAAACAGACUGGCAGUAGGUUCUGCUAGUCACAGCUCAGCUGUGUGGACAGAUCCUCCCUAGAUACUUUCUGGCUCCAAACCAUGCUAUCACCUGCCCACUGUCCCAGGGCGACACUGAUAAUACCUGAGAGUGUCAGUAACGUAAAGGCACAUUGUCUCUUUAAUGCUUUUCUUAUUCCUGGUGUCUUUUCCCAGUUCUUUUGCUGUAGUAAGCAAAUAGUUGACACUAAACACCAGUGGUUUUUCCUGGCUAUGGUAAUGAUUUGACGUAAAAGAUAAUGUCAGACACAGUAAGAUACAGAUGUGACUUUGGCAGUUUCCCUCCUUUGCCAUUUCCUUCUGCUGUCUUUGGAACAAGUCUACAGCCAGCAAAAAUUCACAAUCAAGUAUUGCUGCUCUCUACUUUGUUUGACUGACUAAUUCUACUGCAUCUGGACAGAUGUUGACUGAUGUUUCAUCUGAAUGGGCCCAAGGAGGAUACACUAUUAAGAAACUAAGACAUUUCCACUUUUGCAUUGUAAUUAUUACACUCCAAGAAUGUGGAGGAAAAGUUCUUUAAUACAACACAAUAGGCAAGAAAGCAGAUGUCUAAUUUGGCCUCCAACAUUUGGUGUUUAGGGUCACAGCCUAGGCUGUUCAGUAGCAUAUUAAAUAGCAGAGAGAGUGUGUCUAACAAUUUGACUAGGAAAAUCAUAUAGCUAUGCUCAAAAGCACCGUUCUGUUUGUUUUCAAGUAACUCAGUUAACUGAGUAAGGAAAAAAAAACAAAUAAACCUCAACACCUAAGAAGGAUCUAUUUUAGCAGGUUCAACAGUUUGGAAGUUGCUUACCUUAUAGAUGAACAUGUGCUGAUAAUUAGGAACUUUUCUGUGUCAUCCUAUAGCUGACUGGUAAAUAGAGACCAUGACUGUAAAAAGACAACACAAAAACUUUUCCCUUUUUCCUUACUUUUUGUCCUAAUUCAACAGUCAAAAUAUCAUUAUUUGAAGUAUUUCAACCAGUACUAGAAUGGGUUUAAAAACAGGAAAUAAAAUGUAAUGCAGAUUUUGUUUACAUUUUCUCUCCACCAAUAGUCAAAACUGGUGACAGUUUCACAUUUUAUUUUCAAAUCCAAGAAUUUUGACCAGCUUUGCUCAGCAAAAAACUGAAAAGCAUGACAGAUCCAUGCCACUGAAAAGUUUUUUUCAAAGGCCAUCCUUCAAGUUUCUUGGACAGCUGACUAUCAAGAAACUAGAGCUCUUGAAAAACAAAGACAAGAGGGUCCACAUAAACAAACACUUGAAGAGCACAGACUAUAAGGAAAAUAACAUCGCUUAUCUUUUAAGCAUAGUAUCUAAUAGCUACUGUUUUAUGUCCUUAACAGCUAUAAAUGAACUUUUUAAAUAUAUAGUAGUUUCAUCGCAGUAGCAUUGUACUUUUAGUCAGUCAUUGCAAUAGUGCAUGUCUAAUUUUCAAGUGUGGGUUCAUUAACUGGACAGAAAGACCCAACUUGUUCAGAUCAUUCAAAUAAUCCCUAAAGGGAAGUGCCGAUGUGCUGGUUUGAAUGUCUGAAAGCUAUGCUGGGAAUUCUUCUCAAAUCAGAGGUUUGCAAAUGAGGCUCCCCAUUAUUUGGAGAAAGGCCGUUUCUACAAGACAGUACCUGUGUCUGUGUGCAAGAUCACAGCAACAGCUAUUUGUUUCUUUUUUUAGCACUUCCUUUAAGCAAGCCUUUUUGGAAACUCCAAGGCCCAUUAAAGGUAAAAUGUGCCAGCAGUUCAAGUGGCCAGCCAGUUCUUCACAUGAAUCUCGCAGCUUUGGCAUUAUCUGUGUCCUUUCUCCAGGGAUAGAACAUUUAUUUCUUGAAACUGGACCCUGACCACUGGGGCACAAAUAAGGUAGCAGAAGUGGGACUCAGCCCACCUCUGUUAAAGGGAGGUAAUAUCUGCUUGACACCAGUAUGCAGGUUUAGCACUAAUCUGUGUUAUGUGCCAUUAUUUUUGCUAUUUCAUAUAGAUUCACAUUUUCUUCCUUUGUGAUUUUUGAUUCAUUUGAAAAAUUUUGGGUGAAGUUAUUUUAUUUCUUCCUUCCUCUGGCUCUGUGGAAUUUAUCUGUGCUGCCCUGGCUAUGCAAGUACUGACAAAUUCAUCCCCUGGGAGACAUCUAAUUAGUCACGGGGGGCUUAAGACUAUAAGUUCAUAAGGAAGGAGGUAAUGUCAUGGCGGCAAAACCUGUCCCCUUUGCCUGAACAACCUGAAGGGAGAAGGACUGUUACUGCACAGCACAAUCCAUUUGCAUGACAGAGAAACAAUACGGACUUGUCAGGCGUGGAAAAUGUAAUAAUCUACAAAUAUUCUAAGAGAAACAGUCUGCAAACAGUGUUAACAUCUUCACAGGCAGCACUCUCUUCCAGUGCCACAAAUGAACCAGAGUAGCAGCAACUAAGUGAUGGGCAGUUAUCUAAUGAGUUAAUCUCAUUAGAAUAUUUGAACUCUCAGAAGAGGCUCAACCCAUUAGCUACAUGAUGGCUUUGAAAUGAGCCUUUCAAAAGGACUAUAAGAAUAUAUUAAAAAAUGGUUAAUACACUGUGAACUUUACCAGAAUUCCCAUCUGGAUCAGGCUGUCAGGCAGGAGGAGGAGCAGGAGGUUGGUUACUGGUGAACUUGCCGGCAGUUCCUGCAGCCACGUUAGCUAAUGACUUGGGCAGUCACUCCUUGAGCCUGUCACGUAACAUUGCCAACAAUUUGGAUUCCUGUUGUUCGCAAGGUUGGCCUUGCUAUUCUACACAAUUUCUUUGCUUCCCAGUUUCUAAAUGCUUUAACUUUACCUGAUUCAAUAUUUAAACUUUGACUAGUAUUAUUUUGUAUAUACAACAAAAAAAUCCAUAAGAGUUUUAAGGUCAAAUUAUUUAACCUCACGCUCUCUAUAGUGAUGGUAUCUCUCUAUUUCUUUUUUUUCUUGAAUUUAAUCACAAUCUGCAUUUAUGUUGUUCCGUCCUGUCUAAUUAACUAAAUUAAGAAGAACAGCAGAUUCUCAUCCAGAAUAAAAUCAUAUUGUUAUUUUGAUUCAGUAGAAUACCACAGUUUACACAGUCAAACUUCUAGAAUUUAGAUUACAUAACUGGUUUCUUCUCUUUAUAUUUACUUAUACUAGCUUUAGUAGAAUAAUUCACAUCAGUAAAGUGAACAGUAUUUGACCCUAUAACAUUAAAUGAAAGGCAUUAAUAGAAAAACCUAGAGAAUAUCUUUGAGCAAUAAUUGAAAUCUCAGGGCAGAUGAAUUUCUUCCAUCAUCAUAAAUCACAACAAAAUGUGGACAUGUAAUGUCUGACUAUUCAGAUCUGCUCACUGAAAGCAGUCAGGAAAUGUCCACCACUUCUGGUUGCUAACAUUUAGCCUAUAGUUUAAAAAGCAGUGAUAGAAAGGCUUCUUACUGUUUAGAGUCUUAUAAAAUUUAACUGUUAGUAAUGCAUUUUCAAGAGUUUGGGGAACAUUAUUAAAGUUCUUUUCCAUGCUGCAGCUGCAGGAAUUGGAAUUAUGAAAGUGAAGAAGCUGUAAAAUUGAAAAGGUCAGGAAUGACAUUCAUCUAUUUUAGCUGUCAAAUCAAGGGAAUGUUAACAAAACUAGUCCCUGGUAGAAAAGCUAACUGUCUACAUGUAUUCUGGCUUCUGCAAUACAUGUACUAUACUGCGGCUAAUCUAUAGGAAAGACCACAGUGGAACAGCAUAUGAUUUUUGGAACUCUUGCAACCAAAGAACCUCAGUCCCCUGAAUUAGCUAGCUCUAAUGAUAAUAUAAACAAAUGUGUCUACAAAGCAGCCAAAUGUUUCAAACCAGUGAAUGAAUGAAGUUCAAAUACUCCUGGAAACAGAAUGCAGUUUUCAGAGCACUGGAAGUAUAGGGCAAAUUUUAACUCUAAUGUAUUUCCACAAACAGCAUUUCUAAAAUGACUCCUGCCAAGACAUGUUUUGUUACAACAACAUACAGAAAAGUCUAUAUCAUAGACCAAAUCUUUUGUAGAUGACCUGGAUUUAAUAAUCCCACAGUAUGAAGGACCUUCUCUUCAGCAGUCAAUUCCCCAUAAAGUGAGACAGCGCAAAUGUAAAAUGCCUAAACACAGAUCAUCAGUGAAGGCUGAAUCUAGGACCUCUGUAGCAAAAGACAGACCCCUGACAUGCACUGGAAGAGCUCUCAGCAAGGAAGUCUCUCAGUAAGUCUUCUGGUUUUUACUACACACCAAAUACUACCUUACACAGACAAUGACACUCCCCAGCAAUUGAGACCAAUGGAAAGCUAUUCAGGACCUACAGCAUGCCAGACAUUUAAGGGAACUCAAUGCUAAAUCAUCUCUAGACCAAUCCACUGCAAGUCCCUCUGGCUCUUUUCUAUUGCUGUUUGGUUUUGUUCGUGGCCUACCUGUUGGAGGUCUCCACACACAACUCAAACUUUCGCAUGUCGCUGAGGGUCAAUGUGAAGACGACUGUAAUCACAUCUUGCACCACAUAUGUCACCUCACAUUUUGAUGUAUCCUGUGUUAUGUGAUACAGAUGUGGCAGAAACAAUCUAGCAUGACCUAUGACAACAUAAUACUAGGUCAGUAUGUAGCCUUCUGGUAACUUGUUUUUAAUCUUUCUAUUGUUAUCUGACCUUUUUUUUUUCUAUAGGGAAGUACUGCAAAAGCCAGAAACAAUACUGACAAUUCAUGAAAUAUUCAGGUGUACAGUUGCAAUCUUUAAAUAAAUGGAAGUGACCUUCAAAACAGACAUCCCAAAGAUUAAGAGAACUUCUCAAAAGAUGGCAUUUAUCAGUAAUCAAUGACUCAAAGAAAUUAUACUCCUUUUAGAAAUGAAUACAAAGAAGACCUUUCAGAAUUAUACCACUUUAAAAAUAAAUCAUUCACAAAACCCAUGAAAAAGAACAUUAAUGAGCUAACGAAUCAACAGGACAAAACAUCCAAAAAGCAAACAAAAAGUAUAAACCCCCUUGCGCUUAUCAGUACCCAGGUCCACGUCUGGCGUGCUAGAAAGUCAUCCUCAUAUCCACCUGCUAUUCCCAGGGGCUAGAUGGUAGUAUUGUCAUUAACUACUUUUCUUCAGCUGCAUUAUUGUACAUGAAAAUAUUUAUACCACUCCACAAAUGGAUUUCCUUUGUUUAUAGUCACAUAAAUAUCUUGGGCUCUAACUGGGUCAGUGUACUGGAACAGAUGUAGUCUCAGCAGAAUACCAUGAGAAAUCUGGGAUACAUUAAUGACUGAUCCAAUUACAGUAGAAAUCUCUAGAAAAAACAGAUUUAUUAAGAACCAUGAAAUUAUAAUUACGAUGUACUUCUAAGGAUGACCAGAUGGACAAGCUAGUCUCAAACUCUUUAAGGGGGCUGGAGCUGAACCAGGGCUACCUAACACCAUUGCCCACACAGUUGGAGGAAGUCACAUUCUGCAGAUAUGAUGAAAAAGACUUAGACUUACUGCAGACCUGGGGGGACUGGAUCUAAACCAACCCUGUGCUGGCAAGCAGCAUGGCUUACACACUGUUGGGAGGACAUGGUGAGAGAAGAAAAGGUGUCCACGAGAGAAUGACAGAGCAGGCGUCAAGAAACACAGGCAGCUUUUUGCCCAGGGAGAACAUUUAUACAAAAGAGGUUCUUACCGUUUAGCAGCAGCCCGCCUUGAAAAGCUACAUUUUCUCUCCUGAGUAGGCAACAAAGCCCCUCCAAGCGGCAUCCUGCUCCCUGGCUCCGGCAGACCUGACAAGGUACCGCACCUCGGCACCCAGAAAAAGAGAACGAAAAAGACCUGAGGAAUCUGAGUACAAACAGCUCCUUUUAUCACUCUGAGGACAGGUCAGAUUUCACAGCGUCCCAAUCUGUGAUGCUGAUAAUGUGCUUCAUCACAGGGCCCUACCCCUGCCCCUAGUAAAACUGCAUCAGUGAGUUGUGCCAUUGAGGUAACUGGGAACUAAGAGGAUAUCCAAAGUUAAACAUUUAGUUAGUUAAGACCUUUGCUGACUCAAGGUCUGUGUUCAGCUAAAUAUUUUACCUGAAAAGAUAGAUUAAACAGCAGAAAGGAGUAUUUCUCAUUUAUAGAUCUUGCUGCCAGCUCCAAGCUAGUAAAUAUUUACAUUUCAGCCAGUCUGAUAGCUAAUGUGACCUUUCUGUUGUACACUUUACACCUGUUCUGUAUUUUACUUUCAAUAUUAACAUUCCUUCCAGUCCAUCUUACAUUAACAAGCAGUAUUUAAAUAUAUGCAAAUUUCAUAUUUUAGCUGAUGUUUUAGGAACAUUUUUAAGGUCACCCUGUUUGAUCUAUCAUACAGACGUAGCAAAUUUAUGCACCAUAUAUCCUCUCUACUUGUUUUUACCUACAUCUGUCUUCUCUGAUUGCAUUUGAAUGGGCUUAUUUCCUAUUUUAAAUAAAAGAUUUAUGCCUUA